rnacentral:rRNA from 1 species
UGAGGGAAUAUUGGGUCAAUGGGCGGAAGCCUGAACCAGCCAAGUCGCGUGAAGGAUGAAGGUAUUAUGUAUUGUAAACUUCUUUAGCAGUGGAGAAAUAAUGGGCUCGUGAGCCCAGAUGCUAGUACACUGAGAAUAAGGAUCGGCUAACUCCGUGCCAGCAGCCGCGGUAAUACGGAGGAUCCGAGCGUUAUCCGGAUUUAUUGGGUUUAAAGGGUGCGCAGGCGGCCUUGCAAGUCAGCGGUCAAAUCGUGGAGCUCAACUCCAUUCCGCCGUUGAUACUGCCGGGCUUGAUUGCGGUUGAGGUUGGCGGAAUUCGUCGUGUAGCGGUGAAAUGCAUAGAUAUGACGAAGAACCCCGAUUGCGUAGGCAGCUGACCAAGCCGUAAAUGACGCUCAUGCAC